AUUGAACGCUGGCGGCGUGCUUAACACAUGCAAGUCGAUCGGUAACACGUGUAGCAAUACAUGCUGACGAGAGGCGGACGGGUGAGUAAUGCUUGGGAAUCUGCCUAUUAGGUGGGGGACAACCCGGGGAAACUCGGGCUAAUACCGCAUACGCUCUACGGAGGAAAGCCGGGGACCGCAAGGCCUGGCGCUAAUAGAUGAGCCCAAGUCGGAUUAGCUAGUUGGUAGGGGUAACGGCCUACCAAGGCGACAAUCCGUAGCUGGUCUGAGAGGACGACCAGCCACACCGGAACUGAGACACGGUCCGGACUCCUACGGGA
rnacentral:rRNA from 1 species